GAUGAAGAACGCAGCGAAAUGCGAUAAGUAAUGUGAAUUGCAGAAUUCAGUGAAUCAUCGAAUCUUUGAACGCACAUUGCGCCCCCCAGUAUUCUGGCGGGCAUGCCUGUUCGAGCGUCAUUUCAACCAUCAAGCCCUGCUUGUGUUGGGGUCCUGCGGCUGCCCGCAGGCCCUGAAAACCAGUGGCGGGCUCGCUAGUCACACCGAGCGGAGUAGCACAUCUCGCUCAGGGCGUGCGGCGGGCUCCAGCCGUUAAAGCACCCACCUUUCGCAAGGUUGACCUCGGAUCAGGUAGGAAUACCCGCUGAACUUAAGCAUAUCAAUAAGCGGAGGA
rnacentral:misc_RNA from 1 species